rnacentral:lncRNA from 1 species
AAAACAUAUGUCACUUAGUUGAAAAGUUUGUCGACCUUAAAAAUGCUGCAUAUCAACAUCAAAGUUUGGAAAGAGAGCAAGAGAGUGAGAAGAAUAUCUCAUCGUUACCAAGUAAGAUAUGAAAAGAUUAUUUAAUAUAUAUUUUUUAUUUUCCUAUUUAAUUUUUGUGCAUGUCAAUUAUUUUUUUUUAUCACGGUUGCUUAAUAAAUCGUUAAAAUACUACAUGUAUUUAUAACGAUAUUUUAAAUCUUAAACAACUGAAGACAAUUUUAAGAUGUUUUUAUUUUUAUUUUUUAUUUUUAUUUACAAAUCAAUCAAAAGUCAACAACUAUUCAACUGAUUUAUAUUGUACAUAUAUGUUAGGGUUAGAACUUAAUGACUUUACAUGUGUGACGUGUAUAUACAGGGGCUGAUGGUUUUUAGGGACCAUUUACAUUAUAACAUUGAUAAGUAAUUGUCUCUAAAAUUGUAACAUGAAUUUGAUUAAAACUUGUUUCUUUUAUAAUUUUACGAAAUGUUUUGGCUUAAUCUUACCUCACUUUAAUCCGAAUGGAAUUAGAUAUGAAUAUUAGAUAAUUGAAUGUUGCCCUUGUUUCAAUGUUAUAUGGUUAAGUGCCUUUUGACAGUGAUAAACACACAUUCUCUUUCUAAAAAUAAAUACCACUGUUGUGUUGGAAAUCCAAUUAUCAUAAUAGAUAACGACCAUUAUCGACAAGCGUCUGUUUCCAUUUAUUUGUUAUUCACAAUAUUUUGACAAACACGUUAGAAUUUCAUUUUUGUUCCGAUCUACGUUAAAAAAAAUAUUUUAUUAAGUUGAAUAAUAAUGUUAUAAAUAUCUAGGUGCGAAAUUCUUGUAAUCAUAUAUAUGCUGCCUUCGUACAAGAGCUAGAAAAAAUAAUGAAUAGAUACAAAAUUAAUUAGCUUGAUUUUCCUAUUAAGAAAGAAUCGAUACUUGCUUGGUAGCUAUUGAACCAAGAGUUCCAACUGAUAAAUUUGAAAUAAUUCAUUUGCAAAAAUGAACGCCUUGGAAAUAGAGGUAAUUGAAUGCUUAAUUGAUACAUUAAAAGGUAAAACUGUUUAUUGAAAUGAACAACAACUACAAAUGAGUUACCAUGAUUAGAGUUUUAUUCAAGCUUAUUCGUCAAAUAUCAAAUAUUUGUGUUUGUUUAACUGAGACAUUUAAAGGGAGAUCACUCAAUUGUAAUUUUUUUAUUUGAUAACAAAUUGAUAGAGAAAGUUUUAAUUUUAACUUGUAGCAAGAAAACAAGGUCAGUGACACCAUUUUGUUUUUGUUUAGAUUCUUCUAAAACCUAUCUUCUCAUAUUUUAUUUCAAAACUAUAUAUCAUAGAUAUCUUUGAAAUCACAAAGACCGUGUUCGUUAAUGAACAAUCUAUGCAAAUUAAGCCAUAGCUAGGCGACCACAAUAUCUUUUUCAAAUACAAGCAAACAUCUACAUUUUGAUUAAGAUUAAACAAAUUCUACAUGCAAACAGAAAAACUAAUAAUCCACCAAAAUUCAAAGGCACAUAGAGGAUUUGCAGAAAAGUCUACUGUGAAUAAAGAAAAAAAUUAUAUCAUCACAUUCAUAUUUUUACGGUUUGAAGAUGAAAAAAUUCACUAACCAUUUUAAAGUGGACUUAAAAAAAAUAUAUAUUACUGACCUAUAAACAUGUAUAUGGCGUAUGGAAAAUUGUUUUAUUUACUUAUAUAUUUUACGGACUUUUAUUUUUUACAGCUAUUUCUGAUAGUUUUGAUCAUAUAUUCCUAUAUAUAAGUGCAUAUACAACACAGAUCAUACAGGGACAAGAAAUGGCAAAAGGUUUUUUUCGUUAUUGAAGACCUUUGAAAUGGAGGUUAAAAAAUGUAUCAACCAAUAACAGGAUGCAGCAAUAAAAAACAGGAUUCAUUUUUCAUUUAGUUUUAAAAACAUUACAAGGAAGUGAUUGGUUAAUAAAACAUUUGCCGUUAAGUUGUGAAAUUCGUUCGACUUUUUAAAUACUACAUGUGAAUAUCAAAAUUUGGAAAGAGAGCAACAGAGUUAGCAGGAUGGCUAAACAUUACCAGGUAAGAUUUCAAAGGAUUAGUCAACAUAUUUGGUAGCUUUUUUCUUGAUUAUUGAUGAUUUUUGUCGUGUUUGUUUGGGGGGAAGCUCAUUAAAUCGUGUAAUUUCAUAUUCAAGAAAUGCUGCUCUAUAGAUGAUUUUCUUUUGGAGACAAAUAUUUAUAUAUAUUCCGCUAGGUGGAAAAUUCAUUCGUUCGACUUUUAAUUAAUGAGAACAUAAAAGUUCGGAACCCAAGCAAUAUAGAUAGAAGGUGAGAUUUCCAAAAAAAGAUAUAUGUAUACCAAUGGUCAACCUUAAUUUUGAGACCAUAAAAAUGAAAUUACAGAAACAUUCAGAUGAAGAUGAAGUUAUGUUUUUAGCUACUACAUACCAACCUAUAUAAUCACGGUUUAACAGUAUAAAUACACUAAUCAAUUGCAAACUUUUCAAAUAAAUGAAAAAGAAAAAUAAUGUAUUCUACUUAACUGUGUGUAUGACAUUUAAAGGUUUUAUUUACAAAUAUGUACGUUUAUUUUUUUAAAGCUAUUUCUGAUUGUUUUGAUCAUGGUAUUCAUGUCUCGAAGUACAUGCUCAGUACAGUGCACAAAGGAACUAGACACUCCAGAUUUUUUGCUGUUAUUAAAGGC